CCCCCCAAACCCAAAAGUGGGACGGGGUUCCCCAAAGGGUCCCCUUUAGGACGGGGGUAAGUGAGUAAGGUCCCCCCUUAAAAAGGAAAGGGCAAGGUGGGUGCCAGCCGCCGCGCCCAAACAGCUCUUUCAAGUGGCGGGGAUAAUUAUUGGGCUUAAAGUGUCCGUAGCCGGUUUAGUAAGUUCCUGGUAAAAUCGGGUAGCUUAACUAUCUGCAUGCUAGGAAUACUGCUAUACUAGAGGGCGGGAGAGGUCUGAGGUACUACAGGGGUAGGGGUGAAAUCUUAUAAUCCUUGUAGGACCACCAGUGGCGAAGGCGUCAGACUGGAACGCGCCUGACGGUGAGGGACGAAAGCCAGGGGAGCGAACCGGAUUAGAUACCCGGGUAGUCCUGGCCGUAAACGAUGCAUACUAGGUGAUGGUACGGCCAUGAGCCGUAUCAGUGCCGUAGGGAAACCGUUAAGUGUGCCGCCUGGGAAGUACGGUCGCAAGGCUAAAACUUAAAGGAAUUGGCGGGGGA
rnacentral:rRNA from 1 species